rnacentral:rRNA from 1 species
UACAGAGGGUGCAAGCGUUAAUCGGAAUUACUGGGCGUAAAGCGUGCGUAGACGGUUGUGUAAGUUAGGUGUGAAAGCCCCGGGCUCAACCUGGGAAUUGCAUUUAAGACUGCAUAGCUAGGGUGCGGAAGGGGCAAUCGGAAUUCUUGGUAUAGCGGUGAAAUGCGUAGAUAUCAAGAGGAACACCUGAGGUGAAGACGGGUUGCUGGGCCGACACUGACGCUGAGUGCGCGAAAGCCAGGGGAGCAAACGGG